rnacentral:rRNA from 1 species
AUACGUAGGGGGCGAGCGUUGUCCGGAAUGACUGGGCGUAAAGGGCGUGUAGGCGGCCGAUUAAGUCUGGAGUGAAAGUCCUGCAUUCAAUGUGGGAAUUGCUUUGGAGACUGGUUGGCUUGAGUGCGGAAGAGGUAAGUGGAAUUCCCAGUGUAGCGGUGAAAUGCGUAGAGAUUGGGAGGAACACCAGUGGCGAAGGCGACUUACUGGGCCGUAACUGACGCUGAGGCGCGAAAGCGUGGGAAGCGAACAGGAUUAGAUACCCUGGUAGUCCACGCGGUAAACGACGAAUGCUAGGUGUUGCGGGUAUCGACCCCUGCAGUGCCGGAGUAAACACAAUAAGCAUUCCGCCUGGGGAGUACGGCCGCAAGGUUGAAACUCAAAUGAAUUGACGGGG